GUGCUCACUUUGGCAGCACAUAUACUAAAGUUAGAAGGAUACAGAGUAGAUUAACAUGGACCCUGUUCAAGGAUGACACAGCAUAAGACUCUAUGAGAAUUGCU
rnacentral:snRNA from 1 species